rnacentral:lncRNA from 1 species
AUGCCUUCCACAUGCAUUUACCCAGUUAAAACACAUAGAGGAGCAUAAUGGCAGAGCUGUUCAUAUACUGCAAAUCCCAUGGGUUAGCUUUAGUAAUUUCAGUAAUAAAUACACAUACCUUAUUUACACCGUCACUACCUCACGCUGUGUGAGAACACCAAAAUGAAUGUUUCUGUUUUCUCACAUUUCACUGAAGGGCAGAAGGAACUUUCAGACUGUGUCCUGCAAGACAGGCCUAGGUGUAACCGCAGCCCCAGCACACCAAGGUCCUGGAGAAGAGUACCAAGCAGCUGGAUGCAAACCGGUUUGCAGGACCAAGGUCACCAGAGGAGGUGACACCCCAUCCCAGGAGCUCCCUCACAGCACCAGGGCCAGYGGCAGUGUCAUGGUGCCAGCACCCUUGCAGCAGGUCCUGGUUCUGAGCAUGAGCAGGAAGACCAGAAUACUCCCAAAGUAAAAGUAUGUUCCUAUGACCACCAAUGGUCUGGUGCCUGAGAAAGAUCAGGAAGCGUGCUGGAAGCGAUCUGCAAUGAUGCAGUCCCAGGUACUCCAGAUCCUCCAGAACAGAUUGUGCCUUGUGGUACCUUACCUGCACCCCUCCUCCUCCAACAUCAAUCCCAUUAGGCUGAAAGCACCCAAAACCCCACGGAGGCCCAUAUGCCUUCUGGCUCAUUGCUUUGGUUGGUGAGCACCAGCAACCUUUCCUGCUAGAGACAGGAAGCUGCUUGAGCUCACCCGUAAAUGCCAGCAGCCCGCUUGGAAACACAGUCUGACAGUAGUCCAGAGAAACAGUCAGAGGAGCCAGUGGAAACAGGGUUAAAACACAGACAGGCACAAAUCCCAGGCCUUGCAAGCAGUUGGGAUUUUACUGCAGCAGCUGGCUGCAGCAUUCUGUAGCGUACCAGUCUGUUCACACUUGAAACAUGGUUUGUCUUACAGUAUUCUGGAUUUCUCUGUAGUAGCAGGUUUCCACAGCAGCAAGACAAAGUUCAUGCAAAGUUGGUUUGUUUUGUUUUUUUUUGUUUGGUUGUUUUUUUAAAAUCAGCUGGUACACUUGGAGGAGACUGUUGAGCUUCUGGAGAGACUAACUGGGUAUUUCUAGAACAGAACAACUGUGGGGCAGCUGUCACCCACACUCCAUGCAUUUUUCAUUUUGUGAAAAUCUCCACCUUUCUCUGAUUUAGACUGUCAUUCCCCUUUGCUUGCACUGAAUUUCUUUUCCUCAUUUUCCCUCCGUGAUUUUCUGCCAUAGGCUAAUUUCCUUUCCUUACUUCUAUUUUUAAGAGGUCACUUCSUGGAAUUCAAAACAUCAUUUGCUAAAUAAAGACUAAUAUUUCAACA